UGGUUAAAAAGCUCGUAGUUGGAUCUCGGCGGACUGAGGGCGGUUUGCUUGCUAGUAUUACUGCCCUAUAGUCCGUAGUUUUGCCAGAGGUUUCGGGGUGCUCUUAAUCAAGUGUCCCGGGAUGCUGGCAGGUUUACUUUGAAAAAAUUAGAGUGCUCAAAGCAGGCUAUUACGCCUGAAUAUUCGUGCAUGGAAUAAUAGAAUAGGAAGUCGUUUCUAUUUUGUUGGUUUUCGGAAAUCGACUUAAUGAUUAAUAGGGACAGUCGGGGGCAUUUGUAUUCAAACGACAGAGGUGAAAUUCUUGGACCGUUUGAAGACAAACUACUGCGAAAGCAUUUGCCAAGAAUGUUUUCAUUAAUCAAGAACGAAAGUUAAAGGUUCGAAGGCGAUUAGAUACCGCCCUAGUUUUAACCAUAAACGAUGCCAGCUAGCGAUCUGCGGACGUUUUUUUUGUAGACUCCGCAGGAAGCUUCCGGGAAACCAAAAGCAUUUGGGUUCCAGGGGAAGUAUGGUUGCAAAGCUGAAACUUAAAGGAAUUGACGGAAGGGCACCACCAGGAGUGGAGCCUGUGGCU
rnacentral:rRNA from 1 species